rnacentral:rRNA from 1 species
UACAGAGGUCUCAAGCGUUGUUCGGAUUCAUUGGGCGUAAAGGGUGCGUAGGUGGCGCCGUAAGUCAGGUGUGAAAUCCCGGGGCUCAACCCCGGAACUGCACUUGAUACUGCGGUGCUCGAGUACUGGAGAGGAGAUUGGAAUUUACGGUGUAGCAGUGAAAUGCGUAGAUAUUGGGAAGAACACCGGUGGCGAAGGCGGCGACCUGGUCCUUUUACUGACGCUGAGGCGCGAAAGCGUGGGGAGCAAACAGG